GUCACCAGCACCACUGGACUGUGUCUCAGCACUCAAGGGAGCGAUCCCGAUGUCUUUCUGAGCGUGCUUUGUCCGCCGGCCAGGCCUGAAGAGAACUGGGUCUUGGAGGAGUCUGAGCCACUCACUUAAAUCCGUGUCAUUUCUUUUCAGGUUUUGAGGACUUGAGGAAGUGGGACAAGCACCUUUCUAUUGUCUUCACUUGGAUCGAAAGCAAAACAGUCUCCCAGUCCGCAGCAGAUCAAGUAGUCUGGACAUAACCCGACUGAUAACUUGUGAUUUCACUUAGUUUUCUGCAUACUCUUCAUCACAAUGCAAGAAAUGAUCUCGAGUCCAGAAGGCUUUAUUUAUGAACCUUUGAAAAGGAUCUUCCAGUAUGAUGGACCUUCUAGGAGCGAUGAUGGCUUAUAUCCUCACGAUCCAAGACGGCACCUGGAGUUCCAGACCCUGUAUCUGAAUUCUAAACUGGGAAGAGGAAGAAUUGGGAGGAGAGCAAAAGGGAACACUUUCCAGGUUAAGGAUCCAGAGUUGUUACUGCGGUGGCUUGGAUCGCUGCUGUGUCGAGGGUUUGGUCCCUGGCCUGGGAACUUCCACAGCUCAAUAUGCCUUCAACUCAAACUCCUCCAGCUCCUAUCCAAUGAAAAACCAGUGGUGCAAGUGUGAUCUACUGAACAAAGUGAUGACAGAUGCUAAAUGAUCCAACACCUGAUUACUUGCUAAGCUUGGAAGGUAUUCUCACAUGAUCUAGAAUUAUUUUCUACACCAUGGCCUGAAAUGAAAAUGGUGCUUCUGAAAGACUUGAGGUAGGCAGGAAAUGUAUUUAAGCUGAUUCUCUAAUAGCUUGAACACACUAAUGAGCUGUGUUUUACUGCAAUAAUGUCACCAGGGAGAAUAACAAUUGAGGAAAUGAUACACAUUGAACAAUAAUAGUGAUUAUUUUCCAAGCAUUUACUUUAUGACAGGUUCUUUAUCAUAACGGUGCCAUGAGAUAGGUAUUAUCUCACUUUUACUGAUAAGAAAACAGAAGCUGACGGAAGUUAAAUUAAGUCCCCUAAACAGUUAUGUGGGUCUGGGAGACUUCAGAGGCCCUGCUCCUUCCCCAACUUCCAGAGUUAGAGGAAGGGGGAGUGUAAGCGAGGCUGGGCUUACCUUUCUUUGGAAAAAGGGGGCUGACAGAGGGCAGCUGCCUGUCCCGUGUGACUUUCCAGAGGAGAAUGCCUUGUCACAGGCCAUCCCACAGCUUGUAGAUUCUCUCCCUAGACCACCCUGAAAAGCAGUCUAUGUGCUUUGAAGGUAUCAUUUUAUUUAUGGAAUGAUGAGGUUAUGGAUCAAGGGGAAAAAACAUAAAGACUGGUUUCAUUUAGCAUUUAUUCAAGAAAAAUACACGCCUUUAUAAGGAAAGGAAUGGAGACUUGUCUUCCAACUCCAGCAACAAGCGUCAUUUCCUGGGGAAUUAGUGAGAACAUCUUGUCAUCCCAGAGGCCCCCCACCUUGCCAAGGCUCAACCCUGGACCUUUUCUGAGGAAAACACAUGAAUCACCAAGAAUGGAGAGGUGGGUGGAGGACUGUCCAGCCAGUGGGGGGAGGACACCUGCACAGAACCCAAGCAGAAAGGAGCUAAAAUCAAGGCAGGGGAAUGAGGUCUCAAGAGCUGGUCUACUCACCACUCAGCCUUCACCUAGUUCUUACCGUCUUUUGAUUUUAUUAGAUUUUUUUUGGCAGUAAUUUAUCAGUCUCUUCUGGCUCUCUUGCUUCUCCCUUUUUAAGAAACUCUGCAUCCUGAGGGUCUUUAUGGCAUCAUGGGAGUGAUGCUGUCCUGUAGCCCCUCCUCUGGUGCUCACUGCAUGCCACCCAUGAGUGCAAUGACACCAUAAUGAAGAUUUGAAUGCUCUGGUGGCAAUGAUGUCACUUUGAGGCCCCUGAAGGCAGUUUCUUCCAGCUCCUUUCUCGUUCCUGGGCAUUAUUGGGUUCAGACCUAAUCCCCAGGGCCCAGGGAAGGUGAAGGCAGUGCUGCUAGCCAGAUAGCAGGGGUGCUGAGGCUUAGUGUGAGAGCACAGACCCAUCUUCUCAUAGCUUUGUGUCUCCUUUGCCUUUAGAGACUCUACAGAGCUUUGGGUCAGAGCUGCCUCUCAGACUGCAGGCUGAAGGCUUAGGAAAGGCUUGGAAUCCAGGUUGCUCCUCAGGUAUGAGAAUCACCUGCUUGUCAUAAAGGACUCCCCUCCCCCAACCUUCCAUUGGGAGGAGGUAUGGAAAAAGCGGAGCUGACAGAGGGCAGCUGCCUGUCCCGUGUGACUUUCCAGAGGAGAAUGCCUUGUCACAGGCCAUCCCACAGCUUGUAGAUUCUCUCCCCAGACCACCCACAUUGUCCUAGGAGGAUGAGUUUUCUAAGGUAUGUAGAAGUUAUCAAAAGGGUGGAGAAGUAAGAAGCAAGACAGACUUUGCCAGGAAGGAAAAAGUGGAGAGAUUUUGAGUGCAGAGGCAAACCCCAGCUCUCAUAGAGAAGAUUAAGGGAGAAUAGCCUAGAAGCGGAAUGAGGAAAUGUUCACAUUUUUAUCUGGUUCUACCCAUGCUUUCUAGAGUAGGUGAUGGUGUUGCCCACCAGUGAGCAGCUUUCCGAGAGCUGUGUUUCUGUACCCCAACCCCACCCCUAACUUGGUCAGCCAGCAGCCUCAUCUCUCCCUUGACAUGUGGACAGUCCAUCUACAAUGUGGACAGGGACCUUCAUCUCUGACUUCUUUCCACAGUCUGUGCAGCACCCCACCCCCCACCCCCGUGUGAUGCCGCACCACUAGCUCUCAGUGCAAGUCUGACCGGUCACUUAACAUGAGGGAGCUCAGGGCACUUUGCAGAAGGAGGCUUCUCCUAUGGAAUGCCUGGGGCCUGAGUCCAGGAAUGGAGCAGCUCCAGUUCCCCUGGUGGUGAGCACGUAGGUCAGUGUGGGAUAGCACAUCACCGGCAGAGGAAAGAAGUUGGCUAUGGAAAUGAGGUUCAAUGGAGAAUCAGAGUCACAGAUGGCUGAGAAAAGGCUUCGGCCUGCUGGGGAACUGCAGGUGGGGGUCAGCACGGGUGGCAGAAAGGAGAAAGUUGUUCCGAUCUAGUCCUCCUGAGUGCCAUGGUACUGUUACCAAAUCUGAACAUCCCCAGAGUCCCCGACUGUGGAGGUAACUUUGGCUUGGGUGACAGUGGUAUUUGGCUUGGCCCCCCACCCACUCACCUUUUCCUCCUUGCCUCCUUUCGCAGAAGGUCUAGAAAGCUCAUUGGAUGCUUGGUGUCGACCAUUCAGGCAAAUCUAUGAUCAACAAGACUCUGUUGCAGCCAUUUCAGUUUGUCCCAGUGGACGCUAGGGCCUUUUGAGAUCCUGGAGUUGAGUCAUUCACUGAGAAAGGCUUCCCUGGGCUGGGGCUGGAUGUCAUUUGAGAUCCCAGUAUGUGUAAUAUUCAGGUGUCUUUGUAGGUUCCCCAACAGGCCCUGCCCUGAGCUGCCUUCCCCCUGAGCGAUCUGUGACUAUCAUCUUUCUUACCUCCUUCUCUGCUCCUCCAGGAAAUCAGGGCCACCUUUGCCUCCCUUCUUCGCUCAGGAGGCUUAGUCCUGGUCUCCCAAAUAUCUGACUGUCAUGACUAAAGACCCUUUGCUGUUUCUUCUGGGAGGUUUAAGGGUUCUUGAAAAAGAUGGAAGAAUCCUGGUAGCCUGUCCCAUUUCUCAGAGUUUCUGAAAUAAGCAUACAGAUUAAUAUCCUACAGUGACAUAUAAUUUAAAAAGUAAGCAGCAAAAUACUUUAAGGAGUUCCGCUUGUGGCUCAAUGGUUAACGAGUCUGACUGGCAUCCAUGAGGAUGCAGGUUUGAUCACUGGCCUUGCUAGUGGGUUAAGUAUCUGGCACUGCUGUGGCUGUGGUGUAGGCCAGCAGUUACAGCUCCGAUUCAACCCCUAGCCUGGGAACCUCCAUGUGCUGCGGGUGCAGCCCUAAAAAAAAAAAA
rnacentral:lncRNA from 1 species